AUGAAACAUGUUGAAGUUAUGAAUGCAAAUUUUUAUGGGAAGAUAUACAGAAUGUUGAACGACAACAAUUUUACACGUAAUCAGAGUGUAAUGCAUGCAUCUGGGUCGACAAUGUUAAAUAGAGACAACAAUGGCACGAAAUCAUCAACAGUGGAGGAUAAUAUGGCUUCCGAAGAUGUGAGCAGUCCAGUAAAGAGAAACACUGACGCUUGCAUUCAGCAUAUGCAAAAUAAACGCCCAUGUGUGUAUCUCGAUGGACCAAGCGACGCAGUAGCAUCGCAACAUUGUGGGGGACAGAGGUCUAAUUCUGAGCUGGAUGUCGAUCUGAACGUGGCCGAUCCACUGGCUAGUACGCCUGAGGGGAACAGCAUUCUGUGGUGGAUUAUCCCAUCAGUUUUCGUUUCUCGUAGACUGAGUGUCUCUACCUGGGGUGGGCUAUCAUGGAUGUUAGGAAACGUGUAA
rnacentral:rRNA from 1 species